rnacentral:rRNA from 2 species
UUUUGGAGCCAGCCGCCUAAGGUGGGACAGAUGAUUGGGGUGAAGUCGUAACAAGGUAGCCGUAUCGGAAGGUGCGGCUGGAUCACCUCCUUUCUAUGGAG